rnacentral:tRNA from 1 species
CAUUAAGAAGCUAAAUCGGGUAAGCAUUAGCCUUUUAAGCUAAAAAUUGGUGACUCCAUAUCACCCUUAAUGA